rnacentral:rRNA from 1 species
AGGAUAAACGCUGGCGGCGUGCCUAACACAUGCAAGUCGAACGUCUCUUCUUUCGGGAAGAGGAGUGGCGGACGGGUGAGGAACACGUGGGAACCUGCCCUUUAGUGAGGAAUACCGGCGAGAAAUCGCCGACAAGACCGCAUAGCCCUCUUUGAUGAGAGUCAAAGAAGGAAAGCUUCGCAAGAGGCGCUAGAGGAGGGGCCUGCGUCCGAUUAGCUAGUUGGUGGGGUAAGAGCCUACCAAGGCGUCGAUCGGUAGCUGGUCUGAGAGGACGAUCAGCCACACUGGGAUUGAGAACGGCCCAGACUCCUACGGGGGCAGCAGUGAGGAAUUUUCGUCAAUGGGGGCAACCCUGAACGAGCAACGCCGCGUGCAGGAAGAAGGUUUCGAUCGUAAACUGCUUUCUCGGGAAGAGAACGGACGGUACCCGAGGAAUCAGCCCCGGCUAACUACGCGCCAGCAGCCGC